AGCACUGUGGGUUAGCCUCCUCAAGAGGAACCAGUUUGUGUCGGGGCUGGUACUCAGAAGCAAACUAGAACUAAGAAGAACCUGAAACCGAGCUCCGAGUGGAGAGAGCUUAACCACAAGACAGCAACAGAGGUAAAAAGCAAUUCAGAGGUCCUGGGGAAACGCGGGGGGGGGGGGGGGGGUUGGGAGAGGGAAAGGAUGAUCCGCACCCGGAAGUGGUCGGCAUUGCUCCACCCCCACCCCACACCGCAGCGGGCUCACUGCUGGAGCAGCGUUCCUGCCAGCCCUCCAGCUUCAGGUUCAGUGGAAACUUUCUCUCGAAAUAGUUGGCGCCGCAGCUCUUUGUUGCCGGGCCACUUACCACAAUAACUGUAGGAAAUAAUUGCAUCGGAGGAGUUGCAGAACCACUGUUGCUUCUCAGAUUCAGUCAAUAUGGGAGAAAGCAGCGUCGAAAAGAGAAUAAAUGGCAACAUGAUUUAAUAUCUCCGAUACUUUAAACUCGCCAGGAAGACCAUCGGACUCGACAGUAAGGAGGACAGAUUUAACUUAGUCAGCAGUCAUGUGAUUUGGAAGCUCCCAUCCAACUGCUUCCUCUUUUUAUUUGCAUGUGUGACUGUGCAUUUGUUUUCAUAUCUGAGCACUUCCUGUAAGGCAAGAGAAGAAAAAAAUGACUUAGAAUAUACUGUUUCUUAAUACUCAGUGUAAACUAAAGUAUCCAGCACUUUAAAACAGCACAUUUUCAGGGAGACAAUUAGCUGCCUUACAGGAAACCCUUACUUAAAAGGAAGUCCACUAGCCGUAGUACACACACCCAGUACUUGACAGGCGGAUCUCUGUGAGUUCCAGGUUAGCCUUCUCCAGAUAGUGAGUUCCAGGACAGCCAGAGCUAUAAGGUGAGAUCCUGUCUCAAGAAAGAAAGUCCACCGGUAUACUACUUUUCUGUGUGCUGGCCACUCCCUCCCACACACUCCUCCUCAUACAACGGUUUCUCCUGACCUAGAAAGCUGCAUCUAGCUAUCUAAGCUGAUUUCUCUCCCCUACCCCCUCUCAAUUUCUACUCAAGUACAAACAGGUUCAGCCACAAAACAGACAGGCAAGAUGACCCCUACACGGGGUCAGUAGCAAUUCCCAGCUGGGACCUCACCAGUUUUGAGAAUGCACUCAAAAGGAAGGUUGAACUUGAGGCAAUAGUGUUGAGUUGGGGGUGGGGUUGGUGCUGGACUCUAGAGCUCUUCCACAGAGUAGCAUCUUGAGGUAAAAGUGUGAGUUCCAGUAAUU
rnacentral:lncRNA from 1 species